rnacentral:sRNA from 1 species
UGGCAAGAAACCAGAGGUGUUGAUGAAGACAACUUGAUCCGAGAUCUUCCAAAGGAUUUGAGAAGGGAUAUUAAGCGUCAUCUUUGCUUGGCUUUGCUGAUGAGGGUGCCAAUGUUUGAGAAAAUGGAUGAGCAACUUCUGGAUGCAAUGUGUGACAAACUCCAGCCAGUGCUAUACACAGAAGAAAGCUGCAUUGUCCGGGAAGGAGAUCCUGUUGAUGAGAUGCUCUUCAUAAUGCGCGGCAAGCUAUUGACUGUAACCACUAAUGGUGGAAGAACAGGCUUCUUUAACUCUGAAUACCUCAAGGCUGGUGACUUUUGUGGAGAGGAACUUCUCACAUGGGCUUUAGAUCCUCACUCCUCAUCCAACCUUCCCAUAUCAACU